GAUGAUUGAUCUUUUUAUAAUUCGCAGUUAGUCAAUUCUGUGUUUAUCAUGGCAAUUUCUUUUAUUAUUAUUUCUUUAUUUUCAUUUUGCUGAAUAAUGUCUUCUUUUUUGCAACUGCUGCAAUAUCUGUUGUAUGCUUUGCUUGCUCUAAUGUUUAUAUUCUUUUGAGUAUUCAAUGGAAACUGGGGAGUGAGAAGUAGACUGUAUUGAGCAAGUCCUUCUGCAGAUGAAAGGUUUCUUCCCACAACUACAUGUCCAAGGUUUUUGUGCCACCUCAAAGACUCAACAAGCCCAUGUGUUAGGGUCAUAGUGUCAAACCAACCUAAAAUGUUGCAUGCUUUUGAUUGCUCUAAUAUUUGCAUUAUUUGAGUGUUUG
rnacentral:lncRNA from 1 species